ensembl:snRNA U6 U6 spliceosomal RNA
UUGCUUGCUUCAGCAGCACAUGUACUAAAAUAGGAGUGAUACAGAGAAGAUUAGAAUGGUCCCUGCGCAAGGAUGACACGCGCUUUCAUGAAGUAUUCCAUAUUUUU